rnacentral:rRNA from 1 species
UACGUAGGGGGCAAGCGUUGUCCGGAAUUAUUGGGCGUAAAGCGCGCGCAGGCGGUCCUUUAAGUCUGACGUGAAAGCCCACGGCUCAACCGUGGAGGGUCAUUGGAAACUGGGGGACUUGAGUACAGGAGAGGGGAGUGGAAUUCCACGUGUAGCGGUGAAAUGCGUAGAGAUGUGGAGGAACACCAGUGGCGAAGGCGACUAUCUGGACGAACACUGACGCUGAGACACGAAAGCGUGGGGAGCAAACAGG